UGGCGGACGGGUGAGUAAUGUCUGGGAAACUGCCUGAUGGAGGGGGGAUAACUACUGGAAACGGUAGCUAAUACCGCNUAACGUCGCAAGACCAAAGAGGGGGACCUUCGGGCCUCUUGCCAUCGGAUGUGCCCAGAUGGGAUUAGCUAGUAGGUGGGGUAACGGCUCACCUAGGCGACGAUCCCUAGCUGGUCUGAGAGGAUGACCAGCCACACUGGAACUGAGACACGGUCCAGACUCCUACGGGAGGCAGCAUG
rnacentral:rRNA from 1 species